rnacentral:rRNA from 1 species
GCUUACGGCCACACCUCCCUGAGCACGCCCGAUCUCGUUGAUCUCGGAAGCUAAGCAGGGUCGGGCCCGGUUAGUACUUGGAUGGGAGACCGCCUGGCAAUACCAGGUGCUGUAACCC